GUUUCAGGCAUUAUUGUACGUCGAGUUGGAAAAAUCUCUGUCAAAGCUUCCACGGUAUUUUAGACCAAAAGAAAUUCCGAGCGACACUCUUUAUGAACCAGUCAAAGAAAUAACAAAUGAAGAAAAAGAUUCGCAAAAAGAAACCAAAGUUGAAGAUGUUAUGGUUGAAUUACAGAAUAUCAAGAAUGACAUGAAUGUUUUAAAAAGUCUUCUCGAAACAGCUUUGAAGAAAAACGACAGAAGCAUGAAACUGACUCAAUAGAUGUAAUUAAAAAGUAGAAAUGAGUUAAAUUCAACGAACACAAACUGCAAUAAUUAACGGCGUGUAUUUUUCAAGAUUUUUUAAGUGGUGUGAACCUGGCUCCAACCUCACUCAUGAUGCCAGUCCCUUGAACGUUUGCAUGACGAUAAUAAAUAUCGGUUGCUUUACUGAUCAAAAGCUUUGCUAAAUAGGUGAACAUGUUUUCCGAAAUUGAAUGCAAUUAUAUGGUGUGUAAUUUAACUUCGUCUCAAUCAAUUGUUAUCAAUCAAUUAAACCUACAACAAGC